CAGCAGCCGCGGUAAUACGUAGGUGGCAAGCGUUGUCCGGAAUUAUCGGGCGUAAAGGGCUCGCAGGCGGUUUCUUAAGUCUGAUGUGAAAGCCCCCGGCUCAACCGGGGAGGGUCAUUGGAAACUGGGAAACUUGAGUGCAGAAGAGGAGAGUGGAAUUCCACGUGUAGCGGUGAAAUGCGUAGAGAUGUGGAGGAACACCAGUGGCGAAGGCGACUCUCUGGUCUGUAACUGACGCUGAGGAGCGAAAGCGUGGGGAGCGAACAGGAUUAGAUACCCCAGUAGUCCCUGUCUCUUAUAC
rnacentral:rRNA from 1 species